rnacentral:tRNA from 1 species
ACUUGUGUAGCUCAGUUGGUAAAACACAAGGCUUUUAACCUUGUGGUUGCGCGGGUUCAAGCCCCACGAUGAGCA